rnacentral:misc_RNA from 1 species
UUAAGUUCAGCGGGUAUCCCUACCUGAUCCGAGGUCAACCAUAGAAAGAUGGGGUUGCUGGCAGGAGCACGCCGAAGCCCAGUAGCGAGAGAAUUACUACGCUCAGGACCCAGCGGCGCCGCCACUAGCUUUAGGGCCUGCCAUCGCUGGCAAGAGGCCCAACACCAAGCAGUGCUUGAGGGUUGAAAUGACGCUCGAAC